rnacentral:lncRNA from 1 species
CUCUCUAUGUGUUUUCACAGAAACCCAGGCCCAGGGAGAACAUUUACCCCUCUUCCUACAUUUCAGAGCUGAAAAUGUCGGAAUUGUCAUGGUAAUGCCCAUAGUUGAUGUGACAGAUACUGAGAAGGAAAAACACGCUUGCCACAUGUGAAAACUGCCUGGUUGGUUCUGCUCUGAGUGCCUCUCUGGAGGGCACAUUGAUGGAUUUGACAAUCACUUAAUUCUACUAGAGCCUGACCUUCAGUCUGGAAGUCAGAUAUACGCAGCAGAGACGUAGAUGAUAGCCGCAGGCUGCUGCUGGUGGGAAGCUGACAGAGUCCACUUUAAAGGACUGCCUUCAGUACCAUCUACAUUCUUCUACCUGGGACUGUGUGUGGCCAUGCGGACAGGCUCUCACCUUCACUAAACAAUUCAACUGCUGAAUUCCAACUAUCACGACAACCAUUUACACCAGUAAAAUGAACCAGAGAAGUCAGUGUAUCAGAACCUAAGACGGGAAAACUCUAUUGGAUUUCCUUUUACCUUAACUCUUAGUCCCUGCUUGCAGCUGAACCUCGGAGAGCAAUCAGCAUUCAAUGUUCUGUAGUAUAAGGAUCCUCCAGCAGAUCAUCUCUAGAGCUAGCUCUGACUUCUGCUCCCAGAGUCACCAUGGUGGUUAAGUAUGAAUUUGAUGGUCAUCUGGAAUCAGACUCUCUCCUCAUGGCUGCAAUUCCUCCGUGGUUCCGGCUGAUUUGAACCUCUCUCCAUCUCUGUGCUCCUUUCCCUGGCUGGUGGAAGUUCUGCCCCAUUCCCUUUUCUGCCCAGCCAUUGGGUGAUCGUCAUUUAUUGACAAGGCAGAGAAUAAAUGAAUUUAGUGGAAAAAGUGGGGACUCUACCGAACCUUAAAACAGACCCAGCUUUCCUCCUUCCUGUGGAUGCUCUCCACCUCUCACUGGAGCCUCCAUGUCAGCCACCUAUUCAUGGAGGCACUCUCCACCUGAGAACCCCCUGCUACACCUGCCUGGGAUUCAGAAUUACAUGUGUCUGUGUUGUCUCCCCAGAGGCAGAGACGGAGAUUGACUGAACCACCAUUCAGAUGGUGCUAUUAAAUUCCAGGAGGUACUUCUGGUGGUGAGUUCUCCAUCACCACUCAGCAUUCCUAGCCAUCAGUCACUGGUGAACGAGGAGAGAGAGGGUGGGGAGAGGGGACCUGACAUACCACAUUCUGUUCAGCUCAUGACUUAGAGCUGAACAGCAGCGUGUGCUGGUACAGGGGCAGAUGAUCUGAUUCUGGCACUGGGAAUCUGUGUUUUAGGCAUCACUUUUAUAAUUUAAGUAAAACUGAGGAUUCAAAAACCA